UUUGUUUGUCGGCUCCAUUUCAUGCGAAAUGCAGUGUGUUAAUUUUUAGAGACUCAAUAAAUUUGUUUACUGAUCUUGUAAUCACCAAUGAUCCUUUUCGGUAUUGUGACUUAACUUGCACAAUAUCAUUAAUUAAUUCUUCAUCUAUUAUUUAACUACUCAAGCUCAAGUAUAUGUCACUUUGGAGUUUUUUAUAAACGUGACUAAAAAGAUAAUUGCACUUUGAUAAUAUAGAUAGAGUCAAAUCAAUUAUUUUAAAUCUUUUUGUAAACCAUAAAUCAUGAUAUUACAAUCACUCAUAGCAAUGUACUUAUUGCACUCCAUGAUUGUAAUCUAUGUUAGGUUGAACCCACACAUGUAAACCUCGUAUGAACUCAUCUCUGAUAUUAUUUAUAACAUCUCGAUUGUACAUGGUUAAUGGACCUCCCACACCCACUCACUCCACCCAUAGUCCCUAUUUUUUUUUUUUUGACGGCAAACGGCUAUUCUAUUACUCAAACUUGAGGUGGCCUGGGGAGCCAGACCGGAAGAGAAGAACCAAU
rnacentral:lncRNA from 1 species